GAUGAACGCUAGCUACAGGCUUAACACAUGCAAGUCGAGGGGAAACGACAUCGAAAGCUUGCUUUUGAUGGGCGUCGACCGGCGCACGGGUGAGUAACGCGUAUCCAACCUGCCCACCACUUGGGGAUAACCUUGUGAAAGUAAGACUAAUACCCAAUGACGUCUCUAGAAGACAUCUGAAAGAGAUUAAAGAUUUAUCGGUGAUGGAUGGGGAUGCGUCUGAUUAGCUUGUUGGCGGGAUAACGGCCCACCAAGGCGACGAUCAGUAGGGGUUCUGAGAGGAAGGUCCCCCACAUUGGUACUGAGACACGGUCCAAACUCCUACGGGAGGCAGCAGUGAGGAAUAUUGGUCAAUGGAGGCAACUCUGAACCAGCCAAGUAGCGUGCAGGAUGACGGCCCUAUGGGUUGUAAACUGCUUUUAUGCGGGGAUAAAUUGACUCACGUGUGGGUCAUUGCAGGUACCGCAUGAAUAAGGACCGGCUAAUCCGUGCCAGCAG
rnacentral:rRNA from 1 species